UGGACACCAGGAGAUCUUCAU
rnacentral:miRNA from 1 species